AUGUGGCAAGCGUUAUCCGGAUUUAUUGGGCGAAAGCGAGCGCAGGCGGUUUUUUAAGUCUGAUGUGAAAGCCCUCGGCUUAACCGAGGAAGUGCAUCGGAAACUGGGAAACUUGAGUACAGAAGAGGACAGUGGAACUCCAUGUGUAGCGGUGAAAUGCGUAGAUAUAUGGAAGAACACCAGUGGCGAAGGCGGCUGUCUGGUCUGUAACUGACGCUGAGGCUCGAAAGCAUGGGUAGCGAACAGGAUUAGAUACCCUGGUAGUCCAUGCCGUAAACGAUGAAUGCUAGGUGUUGGAGGGUUUCCGCCCUUCAGUGCCGCAGCUAACGCAUUAAGCAUUCCGCCUGGGGAGUACGACCGCAAGGUUGAAACUCAAAGGAAUUGACGGGGGCCCGCACAAGCGGUGGAGCAUGUGGUUUAAUUCGAAGCAACGCGAAGAACCUUACCAGGUCUUGACAUCUUUUGAUCACCUGAGAGAUCAGGUUUCCCCUUCGGGGGCAAAAUGACAGGUGGUGCAUGGUUGUCGUCAGCUCGUGUCGUGAGAUGUUGGGUUAAGUCCCGCAACGAGCGCAACCCUUAUGACUAGUUGCCAGCAUUUAGUUGGGCACUCUAGUAAGACUGCCGGUGACAAACCGGAGGAAGGUGGGGGAUGACGUCAAAUCAUCAUGCCCCUUAUGACCUGGGCUACACAUGUGCUACAAUGGAUGGUACAACGAGUUGCGAGACCGCGAGGUCAAGCUAAUCUCUUAAAGCCAUUCUCAGUUCGGACUGUAGGCUGCAACUCGCCUACACGAAGUCGGAAUCGCUAGUAAUCGCGGAUCAGCACGCCGCGAUGAAUACGUUCCCGGGCCUUGUACACACCGCCCGUCACACCAUGAGAGUUUGUAACACCCGAAGCCGGUGGCGUAACCCUUUUAGGGAGCGAGCCGUCUAAGGUGGGACAAAUUUAAGGGUGAAGUCGUAACAAGGUAACCG
rnacentral:rRNA from 1 species